rnacentral:rRNA from 1 species
UACGUAGGGGGCAAGCGUUAUCCGGAUUCACUGGGUGUAAAGGGAGCGUAGACGGCCAUGCAAGCCAGGAGUGAAAGCCCGGGGCCCAACCCCGGGACUGCUCUUGGAACUGCGUGGCUGGAGUGCAGGAGGGGCAGGCGGAAUUCCUGGUGUAGCGGUGAAAUGCGUAGAUAUCAGGAGGAACACCGGUGGCGAAGGCGGCCUGCUGGACUGCAACUGACGUUGAGGCCCGAAAGCGUGGGGAGCAAACAGG